rnacentral:piRNA from 1 species
AUCUUGGUGUUUCUCUGCCUUUUC